GUGGGCAUCUUACCGGACAGUGCUGGACUUCUCAACGGCUCUAACACUGUCUGGUAACGAUGUUCAA
rfam:Tupaia chinensis contig185518, whole genome shotgun sequence.